rnacentral:rRNA from 1 species
GUUCAGAACGUCGUGAGACAGUUCGGUCUCUAUCUGUUGUGGGCGCAGGAGACUUGCGGAGUCCUGUCCUUAGUACGAGAGGACCGGGAUGGACGCACCUCUGGUUUACCGGUUGUGGCGCCGAGCUGCACCGCCGGGUAUCCAAGUGCGGACGGGAUAAGCGCUGAAAGCAUCUAAGCGCGAAGCCCUCUCCAAGAUUAGGUCUCCCUGAGGGUCGUCGUAGACUACGACGUCGAUAGGCCGCAGGUGUAAAGGCAGUGAUGUCAAAGCCGAGCGGUACUAAUAGCCCGAGACUUCCCGAA